CAAAAAAAAAAUAGAAAGGUUUUCUGUGAAGAGUAGUUGGCUUGGCUGUUUCACGCAGAGAUGAAAAUCAGGGUGGAGAAUGAAGACUUGACCAAAAAAUCAUAAUAGCAGAGGCCACGGUACAAUUAUUAGCGUCAUUAUGUGGCGAACACGAACUUUCUUAAUAACCACUUCAACAAUCGACUAAUCGUCUCAUCAAUGCCCCAUCACCAGAAACAGCCUACUCCUCCUGCGGCCGCUGCUUCCGCUGCUGCUGAAGCUGCAUCAAUGCAAUCCGAUCCGCCAGCACCUCCUCCCUUCGACCCCAGUCGAAUGAUUGGUAUUAUAAAAAGGAAGGCUUUGAUAAAAAAGUUGGCAGCAGUUUACCACGCCGAGUGCCUUGCAUACUGUCAGGAACUUUUGGAACUACAAAAGAAAUGGGAAGAGCCUUUUGUGGAUUUAAAAACCACCGAUGAUACAAGGAAAGAACCAGUGAGGCCUCCUAAACGUCUGAAAAAGUCCCGCUAAGCAUAUUGUCCCUGGAACUUG
rnacentral:misc_RNA from 1 species